CAAUAGCGUAUAUUAAAGUUGUUGCGGUUAAAAAGCUCGUAGUUGGAUUUCUGUCUGACCGUCCGGUCCACACCUCGUGUGUGAGAAUCUGGAGGCGUCGGGCAUCUUCCUGAGGAACGUGACUCCUAUUAAUUUAGUGGUCUCGGAACUCUGGACUUUUACUUUGAGGAAAUUAGAGUGUUCCAGGCAUGCGUUUGCAUUGAAUACAUUAGCAUGGAAUAAUGAGAUAGGACUUGUGCUCUAUUUGUUGGUUUGUAGUGCGCAAGUAAUGAUUAAUAGGGACAGUUGGGGGCAUUCAUAUUCCGAUGUCAGAGGUGAAAUUCUUGGAUUAUCGGAAGAUGAACUUCUGCGAAAGCAUCUGCCAAGGAUGUUUUCAUUGAUCAAGAACGAAAGUUAGGGAUCGAAGACGAUCAGAUACCGU
rnacentral:rRNA from 1 species